rnacentral:lncRNA from 1 species
AAAAAAAAAGAGAAAAUCAAGAGAUGUAUGGAUAAAAUAGACAUCAUCCAAGGUACCACAGGAUUUCCGAAUUGGAAGCAUUUGGAUGAUGUAGCCUGACACCUCCCAAUUCACUGACCUUCCUGUCUAAGAAGAGUAGACAGUAUGGUGAAUGGUGUAGAAGUCAUGUUUCCAUGAUGCUCUGAGAUUUUAUCCAUCACCAUGAAAGAACAUACCCAGUAUACCCUACUGUCUAAAGUAAAUAGACAGUGACAAGUGAGUCCAUGUCCAGGGUGUUUAUUUAAAAAUGAAUAAAACAAGCAUAAGCACUUCCAGGAAAGAGAAAGUAUACUUCCAAAGUUUUAACAUCAUCACGGAAUGUUUUGAAUUGUAACAACAAAGGUGAAGUCAUUUGAAUUUGUCUUCUAUAAUGAAGUACGCAGGAAAAAAUAUAAGAGGGCAGCAAGAUGGAAUCAAGUGAAGGAAGGGA